UGAAUACGAGACGCUAAGGCGUCGAAGUAGUGUAUGUCAUACUUCCAAGAAAAGCUUGCACUGUCAUAGAUAAAAAACGCCUGUACCAUAACCGACACAGGUGGGUAGGUAGAGUAUACUAAGGGGCGCGAGAUAACUCUCUCUAAGGAACUCGGCAAAAUAACUCCGUAACUUCGGGAGAAGGAGUGCCUUAUUCGUAAGGUUGCAAUAACAAGAUCCAAGCAACUGUUUAUCAAAAACACAGGUCUCUGCUAAGUCGUAAGACGAUGUAUGGGGGCUGACGCCUGCCCAGUGCCAGAAGGUUAAAGAAGUUGGUUAGCAAUUGCGAAGCUGAUAACUGAAGCCCUGGUGAACGGCGGCCGUAACUAUAACGGUCCUAAGGUAGCGAAAUUCCUUGUCGGGUAAGUUCCGACCCGCACGAAAGGCGUAAUGAUUUGGAUACUGUCUCGGAGAGGGGCUCGGUGAAAUAGACUUGUCUGUGAAGAUGCGGACUACCUGCACCAGGACAGAAAGACCCUAUGAAGCUUUACUGUAACUUGAAAUUGAAAUUGGACUUUAUUCGCGCAGUAUAGGUGGGAGGCGUUGAUUAUAAUCUUGUGGGAUUAUUGGAGCCAUCAGUGAGAUACCACUCUUGUAAUGUUAGAUUUCUAACUUUGAAUCAUUAUCUGGUCAAAGAACAGUUUCAGGCGGGCAGUUUGACUGGGGCGGUCGCCUCCUAAACGGUAACGGAGGCGUACAAAGGUUUCCUCUGAACGGUUAGAAAUCGUAUCUAGAGUGUAAAGGCAUAAGGAAGCUUGACUGUGAGACCUACAAGUCGAGCAGGGACGAAAGUCGGUCUUAGUGAUCUGACGGUACUGAGUGGAAAGGCCGUCACUCAACGGAUAAAAGUUACUCUAGGAUAACAGGCUGAUCUCCCCCAAGAGUUCACAUCGACGGGGAGGUUUGGCACCUCGAUGUCGGCUCAUCGCAUCCUGGGGCGGUAGUACGUCCCAAGGGUUGGGCUGUUCGCCCAUGAAAGCGGUACGCGAGCUGGGUUCAGAACGUCGUGAGACAGUUCGGUCCAUAUCCGGUGUAGGCGUUAGAAUAUUGAGAGGAGCCUUCUUUAGUACGAGAGGACCGAGAAGGACAUACCUCUGGUGUACCAGUUAUCGUGCCAACGGUAAACGCUGGGUAGCUAUGUAUGGAGUGGAUAACCGCUGAAAGCAUCUAAGUGGGAAGCCCACCUCAAGAUAAG
rnacentral:rRNA from 1 species